GACGAACGCUGGCGGCGUGCUUAACACAUGCAAGUCGAACGGUGAAGCCCUUCGGGGUGGAUCAGUGGCGAACGGGUGAGUAACACGUGAGCAACCUGCCCCUGGCUCUGGGACAACCACUGGAAACGGUGGCUAAUACCGGAUACGACCCGCCUCGGCAUCGAGUGUGGGUGGAAAGUUGUUCGGCUGGGGAUGGGCUCGCGGCCUAUCAGCUUGUUGGUGAGGUGAAGGCUCCCCAAGGCGACGACGGGUAGCCGGCCUGAGAGGGCGACCGGCCACACUGGGACUGAGACACGGCCCAGACUCCUACGGGAGGCAGCAGUGGGGAAUAUUGCACAAUGGGCGAAAGCCUGAUGCAGCGACGCCGCGUGAGGGAUGACGGCCUUCGGGUUGUAAACCUCUUUCAGCUCCGAAGAAGCGAAAGUGACGGUAGGAGCAGAAGAAGCACCGGCUAACUACGUG
rnacentral:rRNA from 1 species